GGGUGAUUAGCUCAGUUGGCGAGAGCGCUACAUUGACAUUGUAGAGGUCGUUGGUUCGAAUCCAAUAUCACCCACCA
rnacentral:tRNA from 1 species